rnacentral:rRNA from 1 species
UGGGGAAUCUUGCACAAUGGGGGAAACCCUGAUGCAGCGACGCCGCGUGAGUGACGAAGCCCUUCGGGGUGUAAAGCUCUUUCGACAGGAACGAUAAUGACGGUACCUGAAGAAGAAGCUGCGGCUAACUACGUGCCAGCAGCCGCGGUAAUACGUAGGCAGCAAGCGUUGUUCGGAAUUACUGGGCGUAAAGAGUGCGUAGGUGGUUGGCUAAGUUUGGUGUGAAAUCUCCCGGCUUAACUGGGAGGGUGCGCCGAAAACUGGCUAGCUAGAGUGUGGGAGAGGGAAGUGGAAUUCCUGGUGUAGCGGUGAAAUGCGUAGAUAUCAGGAGGAACACCUGCGGUGUAGACGGCUUCCUGGACCAUUACUGACACUGAGGCACGAAAGCGUGGGGAUCGAACA